rnacentral:rRNA from 1 species
UACGUAGGGUGCGAGCGUUAAUCGGAAUUACUGGGCGUAAAGGGUGCGCAGGCGGUCUUGUAAGUCAGAUGUGAAAUCCCCGGGCUUAACCUGGGAACUGCGUUUGAAACUACAAGACUAGAGUGUAGCAGAGGGGGGUGGAAUUCCACGUGUAGCAGUGAAAUGCGUAGAGAUGUGGAAGAACACCGAUGGCGAAGGCAGCCCCCUGGGUUAACACUGACGCUCAGGCACGAAAGCGUGGGGAGCAAACAGGAUUAGAUACCCUGGUAGUCCACGCCCUAAACGAUGUCAACUAGUUGUCGGGUCUUUAUAGAUUUGGUAACGCAGCUAACGCGUGAAGUUGACCGCCUGGGG